GUCGCUUCUCAGCCUUUUGGCUAAAAUCAAGUGUAGUAUCUGUUCUUAACAAUUUAAUAUCUGAAACGUCCCCUACCCAGGGACCGUAUAUUAAAUUGAUUUGUGGAACAGGGAGAUGGAAAAGGGGCUUCUUGCAUAUCCCUCAGGAUUAGCAUCCGUCCGUCCGUCCGUCCGUCCGUCUGUCCAACCAAC
rnacentral:snRNA from 1 species